CACCGUACGUACACACAAUUCAGUUUCGUUCUGAACUUGUCCGGAAAAUGUUGAGUUUAGCGAAUCGCUCGUGCUCGCUGCCACAACCAAUAACCAAAAUCAAAUGUUAAACAUUUGUACUACUCUGUAUAACUGACAUUUUAACCGAACGUCGUUCGGUACGUGUGGAAAAGUGAACAAAAGAACAUUGCGAUUGAACGUUAGGAAAUAUUAGAUAGAGAGAAAGAGAAAAAAAAGCGCAAAAAGUGAUGCAGCGUGAGAAUAAUUUAUAUAGAUAUAUUUGAAAAUAAAAACAGCAAAAAAAGUUUCCAAUUUAAGUGUGGUUUGUUAGCUUAAUUCGAUAAAAUUGAUGAAAAACGAGAUAUAGCCAAAACCGACACACACAAAAAAAAGAAACUUUGAACACCGAACAAAUUGGUGAUGAACGAGCAAAAAACAAAACUAAACACACAAAUGCAGUGCCAUACAUUGAAAAUAUAAGAUAAAAGUGAAUGCAAAACAGUUUAAAUCGAGAGAGAUACAUGUGCACUUCGAACAGCUGUAAAGGGCUUUAAGUGAAACGUAAAAAUUGUUUUUUACGGAUAUUGCUGAACCAUCGAUAGCGGUACUGUGGUUACGUUGCUGCUCUUUCAAUUGUCCAAAAUUAAAGAAAUCCGUGAUAUUCAUGCAUGAUGUGUUACCGAAAACGAACACAGAAAAUACUCCCGGUCUACCAAUGAUGAAAAUAGUGUGAAAGUGAAACCAACAAGACAACCGAGACUCUCAAACAAAUUGUAUAUGCGAACAAGAGAAAAAAGCACAUAAAUUUUUAUAUACAUUGGAGUAGCGUAUGCAAAGAACGCGUAAACCAUAUCCCAACUGUAUGCGCAUAUAAAUAUUUGAAUCUGUGUAUGUGAACGAUUUACUUCAAAGUUCCCAUUGUCAUAUUACGUAUACGUCGCACGGUGGUUUUGCUUCUUUCUGUAUGUGAUGCGCAACAAUAAGAACAACAAUAACAUUCAAGAACAAAAACAAUAUCAACAAGAGUAAUACAUGUAGCGCGCGUUUGAUGAUUAUGAUAAUGAAAUUCAUUCAUUCAACAUUAUGAAUAGUGUUCGAUCGAAAGUACGAUGCAUGUCUUUUGCUGGUGUUUAUGAACGGAAAAACGAAUCGGUAGAACAAACCUAUUACGCACAGAAAAGAAAUCGAAGCCACUUAGUGUGUAAGAUAUCGCAUAGAUAUACAUAGUAAAUUGGCGCGCACUGUGGCACAACCAAGAAGAAUACAGCAAAAAAAAACGAGGACGCAAAAGAUAAUAUACCUGAAAUCCGGAUAUGUGAAUGUGGUAGCACAAACUACAACUAGAACUAUAAAGACACAAUAAAAGAAAAAAAAAAGAGAAAAGAAAUAGAAAAUAUAAAUCGAAUCGCCACCGAACAAAGAAUAGAACUGAAGAAAAAACCACCAGCAUACACACGCAAACGCCAAAAAUGUGAACAAUUUGUUGUGUAAUAAAAGUGAGCUCACCGAAGGAGCCACCAUCAAAUAUUCACAUAAAACUAGGCAACAGUGAUAAUUUCACGUUUGACUUUUUAUUUCGUUUGUCUGUCAUCUUGUUCGUUUAGUUUCGUGCUUUAUUUUUAUUGUCUCUUUUGGCAGGCAUUCACACACACACACACACACACCAUACACACACAUAACGUGUUGUAGCCAGGAGACGAUAAUAAUUCAAUCAUAUUAUUUGCGCAGUUAAUUCGUCAGCAAAAAAAUGCAACACAAGGACCAUAAAAACCAAAGCCAGUAUUGAAUAGAAAACAGGGAGAGGAUCUUGUUCCUUUAUUUUUUAGCUCCCUCUUCCCAUUUGCGCAAACAAUCAAAUCGAAUAAGCACAAAAAUAAGAAGAGUGGGAAAUAUACCGGCGAAUACCAUCGAACGACGGCAAAAUCUGAACAUACUAUACGGCAAAUCGAAAUAAAUGUCAGCCAAUAAGUAGUAGAAGAAGAAAACAGCAGUGCAAGUGCAUAAAAUGGUAGUGAAGAACUCUCAAUUGGCGAGAGAAAAUAUCCGACGACAAAAAGUGAAACGUGAUUAAAAGUCGAACUUACUGCUUACAAAUGAACACAAAUAAUGUAGCGUGCGCGUGGACAAAAAAUAUAUACAUACAUUUCUGAAAGAAGAAGAGAAAAAAAAAACAGUACAUGCUCAAUAGAAAA